rnacentral:rRNA from 1 species
AUUGAACGCUGGCGGCAUGCUUUACACAUGCAAGUCGAACGGUAACAGGCCGCCAGGUGCUGACGAGUGGCGAACGGGUGAGUAAUGCAUCGGAACGUGCCCAGUCGUGGGGGAUAACUACUCGAAAGAGUAGCUAAUACCGCAUACGAUCUAUGGAUGAAAGCGGGGGACCGUAAGGCCUCGCGCGAUUGGAGCGGCCGAUGUCAGAUUAGGUAGUUGGUGGGGUAAAGGCUCACCAAGCCAACGAUCUGUAGCUGGUCUGAGAGGACGACCAGCCACACUGGGACUGAGACACGGCCCAGACUCCUACGGGAGGCAGCAGUGGGGAAUUUUGGACAAUGGGCGCAAGCCUGAUCCAGCAAUGCCGCGUGCAGGAAGAAGGCCUUCGGGUUGUAAACUGCUUUUGUACGGAACGAAACGGCUCUGGUUAAUACCCGGGGAUAAUGACGGUACCGUAAGAAUAAGCACCGGCUAACUACGUG